rnacentral:rRNA from 1 species
GACGAACGCUGGCGGCGUGCCUAAUACAUGCAAGUCGAGCGGACUUGAUGAAGUGCUUGCACUUCUGAUGGUUAGCGGCGGACGGGUGAGUAACACGUAGGUAACCUGCCUAUAAGACUGGGAUAACAUUCGGAAACGAAUGCUAAUACCGGAUACGCGAAUUGGUCGCAUGGCCGAACCGGGAAAGACGGAGCAAUCUGUCACUUAUAGAUGGACCUGCGGCGCAUUAGCUAGUUGGUGAGGUAACGGCGCACCAAGGCGACGAUGCGUAGCCGACCUGAGAGGGUGAUCGGCCACACUGGGACUGAGACACGGCCCAGACUCCUACGGGAGGCAGCAGUAGGGAAUCUUCCGCAAUGGACGAAAGUCUGACGGAGCAACGCCGCGUGAGUGAUGAAGGUUUUCGGAUCGUAAAGCUCUGUUGCCAGGGAAGAACGCUUGGGAGAGUAACUGCUCUCAAGGUGACGGUACCUGAGAAGAAAGCCCCGGCUAACUACGUGCCAGCAGCCGCGGUAA